AAAAAGAAAGAGAAAGAGAAAGAGAAAGAGAGUGGUGUGUACAGCAGCCUUCAUUUUACUUACCAUGGCUUGGAGGUGCCACAUGAACAUGGUUCUUCUGCUCGUUAUACUGGAGAUCGUUCUGCUCAUUACGAUGCCAUCUGGAGGGCUGGCAGGUCCGAGUGCGAUACAGAUAAACGCCGGUAGAAACCCCAACUGCCCCGCUUGCGUCAGACGUCCUUGUCAUUGUUGAAAGUAUAUGGGGUUUUGGCCCAUUUAAUUUUUCAUUCCUCAAAAGUCAAAUAUAUGCAUUAAUGGAUGCCUGGCAUCGAUCAGCACAUUGUAGUAUCACAUGUAGAGUGGAGGAGAAAUGAGACCAACAUAUAAGGGAUUCUCUAGCUCUCUCACUCAUUAGAGCAUGAUAAGAGGACUAGUACAUGCACGCCUUCUAUACCGUCACACCGGACCCCUCGCCUAUGUCUUCGAUUCCUGGCGACUUAUUCCUCCCUGUAAUAAGAAUGCUCCUUGAUGCAGUGGUAAUUUGUUAGUAAUCCAGGAGCAUGUGCAUCAUCGUUUUCCAAUUUGGACCCAUUAUGUCGUUAUUAUAUUUUUGUGUUGUACAAAGACUACUUGACUGGCAACUUGAUACAUCAUUUUGUUGUGCAUGAAAGGUUUCCAUGCAGCAACCAAUGAUCUCAAAUGUGUGACAAGGCUUCUUGUAUAUAUGGGAAAUGUAAAAGAGGUUCCAAUUACCA